AGCAGCCGCGGUAAUUCCAGCUCCAAUAGCGUAUAUUAAAGUUGCUGCAGUUAAAAAGCUCGUAGUUGAAUUUCGGGAUCAAUAUGUUGGUCGUGCCUCGGUACGUACUAGCUUAUUGGUUUCUUCCUUCUGACGAACCAUAAUGUCAUUUAUUUGGUGUUAUGGGGAAUCAGGACUGUUACUUUGAAAAAUUAGAGUGUUUAAAGCAGGCUCACGCUUGAAUACAUUAGCAUGGAAUAAUGAAAUAGGACGUUUGAUUCUAUUUUGUUGGUUUCUAGGAUCGACGUAAUGAUUAAUAGGGAUAGUUGGGGGCAUUAGUAUUCAAUUGUCAGAGGUGAAAUUCUUGGAUUUAUUGAAGACUAACUACUGCGAAAGCAUUUGCCAAGGAUGUUUUCAUUAAUCAAGAACGAAAGUUAGGGGAUCGAAGACGAUCAGAUACCGUCGUAGUCU
rnacentral:rRNA from 1 species